rnacentral:piRNA from 1 species
AGCUGGAGAAUGAACGGAGAAGCAGACUG